rnacentral:lncRNA from 1 species
GUUUAUUUCUUCUUUUUCUAGCAUCUUAAGUGAAUCAUUGUUUAAUAAUUUAUUGUUUAAGCAUUUUUCAUUCAGUACUUCCUUAGAUAGAUCUCACAUUUUUUGGCAUUUGUUUUCAUAAUUGUUUAGUUCAAUAAGUUUCCUGAUGUCCAUUGUAAUUUCUCCUAGUAACCAUGGAUUAUUUAGAAGUGUGUAAUUUAAUUGUAAUGUUUGGUGAUUUUUCUCAGUACCUGAUCUCUAACUUAUUUAUUUAUCUGUCUAUUUAUUUUUGAAACAGAGUCUUGCUCUGUCACCCAGGCUGGAGUGCAGUGGCACAACCUCAGCUCAGUGCAACCUCCACCUCCUGGGUUCAAGCAAUUCUCCUGCCUUAACCUCCUGAGUAGCUGGGAUUACAGGCGCCUGCCACCACACCCAGCUAAUUUUUGUAUUUUUAGUAGAGAUGGGAUUUCGCCACGAUGGCCAGGCUGGUCUCAACACCUGACCUCAAGUGAUGCACCUGCCUUGGCCUCCCAAAGUACUGUGAUUACAGCCUCCUGGUAUUUUUAAGGAAAUGUAAGAGUGUGAAUCAGGUACUGAUGGUUUUGACUUCAUUAUGAUCAGCAUCUUUGGCUUCCAUCAGAGUAGACACUGAACGUUUUCAUCCAACCGGAUGAUGAGUGCAUUAGAACUACAUAAGAGAUGAAAUCCUUUCUCCCUGGGACAUGCCCUCCGUGGGAGCCCCAGCAAAUCCAGGUGGACGUGGCUGAAAGACAAAAUGCUCAAAACACCACUGUGCUUCUUCUUACACUCUGGGUCAUCAACAGUCUCAUCUACAUCAAGCUUGUGCCAUUUGUUGACACUAUCAAAUAUGGCAGUGUCACCAAGAAUCUCUCCAUAAAAAUGUGUUUAGCUACACCACACAUGGGCAACACAAUUGCUGUCUCUCAUACGAGUGUUAUCACAUUCCAGGACUUAAUUUUUCUGGUUCUCAUGAGUUGAGCCAGUGGCUACUUGGUGAUUUUCCUUCACAGACACCAGAAAAAUAAUCCACAUCUUCACAACAACAGCUGUUCCUCUAUAGCCUCCCAUGAGACCGGAACCAUCACGACUGCGCUGCUGCUUAUGAUUUGCUUCGUUGUAUUUAAUGUGAGCAACUCGUGCCACAGCAUUUACCUAAGUACGGUGAAGAAAAGGGAUCAGUUGUGGACCAUCUCAGAUUUGAUUUCCUCAUGUUACCCCAUUUUUUGGUCCAUUUUUGCUCAUUGGUAGAGAAAGUCUUAUCCUGAAUUCAAAAUCUAUGAAGUAGAGAAAGUCGUCUUAUCCCAUAGAUAUGUCAAAGUAAACUUUCACCAAUAUAAACUUUUUCCAAAACAACAUUCUAUAAAGAGUUGGUAUUCUGAAGAAAUGAUGGGAUUUAGGUCUGAAAAAUGAGAUAUUUCUCAGUUCACUGCAUGAAAUAUAAUCUAAUGACCUUUACCUUCAGUAAAGACAAUAUUGCAUAGCUUAGUAUUUAAUGUUUGUAUACAUAGAUAUAAUCAUUUAAUAGACAAGUAGAUAGAUAAUUUUUCAUGUCAGAUGUUAUAAUGGACUUCUUGCACUAGUCAUUCAAUAUCCAUAUUUUUCUUACUUUAAUUUGUGUUCAGCAUGAAAAAUCAUUUCAAAAGGAGAUCAGGGACUCCAGGAAGCAGAGCGUAACUCCCCACUUCUAAACUGUGGGCUUCACAUAAUGACAUCCUACCAAGAAAUCAGUAUAGCAAAGGAGGAAAAAGAGUAACUUCGCAUUGGAGAAACCUAACAAACACUGUCUCAGCCAGGUGAUCAAGGCCACUGUGAGCAGUGAUCAGUCAAGUCGAAAGUGCAUAUCAUAUGACAGGAUGAGAAUGGCAUUUUACCUCGACAUCUUCCCUCCCAAAACUAAUAAUCCUACUACAUCAGACAAACCUCAGCUGAGAAACAGUUUCCAAAAACACCUGACUAGUACCCCCUAAAACCAUCAAGGUCAUCAAGAACAAUGUAGUCCUGAGAAAUGAUCACAGCCGGGAAGAACCUAAGGACUUGGUGUCCUUUGGUAUCCUGAUAUGGAAUCCUGGAGCAGAAAAGGACAUUAAGUAAAAACCAAGGAAAUAGAAAUAAAGUAUAAACUUAAUAAUAUAUCAAUAUUAAUUCAUUAAUUGUGACAAAUGUAACAUAGUAAUGUAAGACAUUAAAAUGGGGAAAAUUGGGUAUGAUGUGGAGGAGAACUCUGUGUAUUCUAUUUGCAACUCUUCUGUAAAUGUAAACCUAUUUGAAAAUUAAAAAUUUAUUUUUUAAAAAGAAAAUUAAGAAACCUAUAUACUUAAAUUUGAGGAAACAAAAAUUACUUUCCUUGCCUAAAGUAUGUGUUCUACAUUUUAGGAUUUACCUGACAUCCUAAUGAAUAGACUUUUUUAAUGUAUACAAUCUUAUGUCACUAAUUUAAAUGUAAAUGUUUAAGAGUUACAAGGUUCAGUCUAUUAAUUUUAUUAACUUGGCCCUUGAAGAAGACUCAUAUAAGAAAGAGGAUGUUUUGACCUGAAUUAUUUCUAUACAAAGCACUCUUUGAUGAGGACAGUACACACUUCAUAUAAUAACCAGCACAAAAUAAAAUUCCAGAUAAAUAUUCAUACUAUCAAGCAUGUAAGAAAAAAAGCAACGCAGGCUUCUGCUUAAUAUGCUAAAACUUUCUAAGAUUUCCCAGAGCCAAGCACAUUUGUCUGAAGUUCAGUUUUUAAAAGUUAUUUUAACUCUGUCCCCAGCUGACACGGUUGAUGAGUUGGAAAUGUCAUAAAUGAAGUCAUAUUUCAGCAAGUACACUAGGAACGGAAGAGAUAAAGAUCACAGCAAGUUUAGUGAUGAAAAUUUAACUCCAUUUGGUACUGUGUCUCAAGUGUUAAGCUAAAAUAGAAAUAUUGUUGGUUCAUCAACAUAACAUUAUUUUGGUUCCCUGACCCUCUGCUAUGUAAACAGCCCUUCCAUUUUGCACAAAUGCAUGCACGCAUGUAAAUCUAGAGAAGAGAAGAUGAUGGUGGUUGCUACGGGUGAGUUGGAGAAUUGAGUCUCAGAAUUUGGGUACAGGGACUCCUGGUUUUUAAAAGAAUGGAUUGGGGGAGAAAAUUUGAAUUUUUAGUCUCUUUUUGUAAUACUUCAGGAUCUUAAAUUCUAAUGUCAUAAACCCACCUUGAAUUAAUUUGGGUAAAAGAUGACUUUGUUGACUCACAAAAGUCAGAGGAAGAACAGAGCAGCUAUAAUGUAGGAGGGUGACAAAAUAAUUUGGGUUAAAAGUAGA